rnacentral:ncRNA from 1 species
AAUAAAAUUAUUUAUGGUUUAAAAAUUUAUUAUAAAUUUAUUUUACAUAUAAAUUUUAGUGUUAAUUUUUAAUUUAUUUAAAUAAUAAUUAAUAUUUAUUUGUAGUAAUUAGAAUUAAAAAUUUAAGUAAUUAAGAUUUAGUAAUAUUUAAAUUAAUAACAAAUUUUGUGCCAGCAGUUGCGGUUAUACAAAAAUUAAAUUAAAUUUUUUUAGGGAUUAAUUAAUAAUAGAUUAUAUAAUAAAAUUAAAAUUUAAAUUAUUAAGUGAAAUUUUAAUUUAUGAAAAUUUUAUAUUGAAUUAUGAAUUAAAAAAUUUUAUUAAAAACUAGGAUUAGAUACCCUAUUAUUAAAAAUUUAAAUUAAUAAUACUAAAAUAGUAUAUAAUUAUUUAUAAAAACUUAAAUAAUUUGGCGGUAUUUUAGUUUAUUUAGAGGAAUCUGUUUAUUAAUUGAUAUUCCACGAAUAAAUUUACUUAAUUUAUUUAAUUUUGUAUAUCGUUGUUAAAAAAAUAUUUUAAAAUAAUAAUAAUAUUUUAAUUUUUAUAUUAAAAGUUAAAUCAGAUCAAGAUGCAGAUUAUAAUUAAGAAUAUAAUGGAUUACAAUAAAUUUAUUUAAUUGGAUGUUAUUUUUAAAAAUUAAUUGAAAUUGGAUUUAAAUGUAAUUUUAUUUAAUUUAUUAAAAUGAUUUUAAUUUAAAAUAUGUACAUAUUGCCCGUCGCUUUCAUUAAUAAAUUGAAAUAAGUCGUAACAAAGUAGAGGUACUGGAAAGUGUUUCUAGAAAGAAUA